AUAGACGAGCCUGGCAGCUGCGUCCCAACAGUGAGAGUGCUGGGCGCGGGCUGCGGGAGAUCGUGGGGUGCCCGGGACGCGGUGGGCGGCCUCUCCGCCAGGUCCCAGCGGGAACGCGCUCCGCCCCUCGCGAGGCCCCGGCCAGGGUGUGCUUGACCCCAAGCUGAAGUUCCUGCUCUGCCCCCGGGGCUGCGCGGCGGAACUGCAUCCCUGGGCGCGAACCCGCAGACGUCGUGGUCUUUGUGCCCUCGACUUGCGCCGGGAUUUGCGGGUCCCAGGCCUCCUCGGUGAGCUUGGUUUCGUCGGGAAUCUCCAGCUACAGUUACCAACCUGUCCUGUGCUGUACGGUGUGCUCCUGCUGCCCUUGUAAAAAUCAGACUAUCAGUAAGUCGUAGGAGCAAAACUUUGACAUGGAAAAAAAAAAACCCAAAACAUUGGGGAUGUUAUUUUGUUGGGGCGAAGCUAGGUUUUGCUGUUGCGGAAACACCUCUACAGAGUCUCGUCUGAAUCACACACGACUGCCACCAUUUCCCGGUUUGAGAGACCUGUUCUUCCUUAAAUGAAUGGGGUGACUCUUGGCGCGAAGGCGUCACCGGCCCUAACACACAGUCCUCGCAGCGGGGCUCUCAGGAAAGCCAGACGACGUGCCCCAGGGCACGGGUUUGAAAGGACUAGGGCUGGGCUCAAGGGAAUGGCAGAGAAUGAGCCAGGUGGGCAGACUGGGAAGGGGUGGGGGUGGGCAGAGGAGGGAGCCCUGCCUAGAGAUCAACAAGCGCUAGUUGUGGCCUUGCCAGAGUUGGUUCUUUCGUCCUACAUAUGCCAGUCCGCACGGUGCUGUGCGCCGCGUGUGCAGAGGUGAACAAACAUGCCGGCUUCUGCCCUCGUGGUCUGGAGCUCUAGUGUGCCCCUGGGGACUGCAAACGAGUUGGUUCCGCUGGCCAACAACCUAAUGCAGAUCACAGUUCCCUAAGCUGAGUCGAUCUUUACAACCAGCAAGAGCAGACACAUCUGCUGACUCUGGAUCCUGGCUGAAAAUUCUAGAAUCCUGCUUUCUUGUGGUAACUGCAGCUGGUCAAAGGCCACCUCACCUCUCCAUUACCCUGACAGUAGAGACAGACGACCAUCACCCUCCUUCUUCUCAGCUGCUCUCUUGUUGGAAGCCAAAGCAGGACUGGAAAUGGUUGGAGAAACGGCAUAAAACAGCCUCAUGGGAGUGCCCGGGCACAUCAGUACUUUUGCUGCUUUGAAAUUGAGAUGAUUUUCCAUGCAGUUGUGCACCUGAUCCCAUAAGGAUAAUGACUGACGAUUCAUGAAAACCAGAGAAGAUACAUGUAAACCUUGCAUCAGGGAGGAGGUAAGU